rnacentral:rRNA from 1 species
CAACGCGAAGAACCUUACCUGGGCUUGACAUGCCGCGAGUAGGAAACUGAAAGGGGACCGACCGGUUCAGUCCGGAAGCGGAACAGGUGCUGCAUGGCUGUCGUCAGCUCGUGCCGUGAGGUGUUGGGUUCAGUCCCGCAACGAGCGCAACCCUCGCCCUCUGUUGCCAUCGGGUCAUGCCGGGCACUCUGAGGGGACUGCCAGCGACAAGUUGGAGGAAGGAGAGGAUGACGUCAAGUCAUCAUGGCCCUUAUGCCCAGGGCCACACACGUGCAACAAUGGCCGGUACAGACGGAUGCGAGACCGAGAGGUGGAGCAAAUCCGAGAAAGCCGGUCCCAGUUCGGAUUGAGGUCUGCAACUCGACCUCAUGAAGUCGGAAUCGCUAGUAAUCGCGUAUCAGCACGACGCGGUGAAUACGUUCCCGGGCCUUGUACACACCGCCCGUCACACCACGAAAGUCUGUUGUACCUGAAGUCGGUGCCCCAACCGGAAACGGAGGGAGCCGCCCAAGGUAUGGCCGGUAAUUGGGGUGAAGUCGUAACAAGGUAACC